CCUACGGGGGGCAGCAGUGGGGAAUAUUGGACAAUGGGCGAAAGCCUGAUCCAGCCAUGCCGCGUGUGUGAAGAAGGCCUUCGGGUUGUAAAGCACUUUCAGUGGGGAAGAAAGCCUUGGGGCUAAUACCCUCGAGGAAGGACAUCACCCACAGAAGAAGCACCGGCUAACUCCGUGCCAGCAGCCGCGGUAAUACGGAGGGUGCGAGCGUUAAUCGGAAUUACUGGGCGUAAGCGCGCGUAGGCGGUCUGAUAAGCCGGUUGUGAAAGCCCCGGGCUCAACCUGGGAACGGCAUCCGGAACUGUCAGGCUAGAGUGCAGGAGAGGAAGGUAGAAUUCCCGGUGUAGCGGUGAAAUGCGUAGAGAUCGGGAGGAAUACCAGUGGCGAAGGCGGCCUUCUGGACUGACACUGACGCUGAGGUGCGAAAGCGUGGGUAGCAAACAGGAUUAGAUACCCCAGUAGUC
rnacentral:rRNA from 1 species